rnacentral:rRNA from 1 species
AUUGAACGCUGGCGGCAGGCUUAAUACAUGCAAGUCGAACGAGUGGAGGACGGGUGAGUAAUGCUAGGGAAUCUGGCUUAUGGAGGGGGCUAACUACGGGAAACUGUAGCUAAUACCGCGUAACGUAGGAUGAGCCCAAGGGGGAUUAGGUAGUUGGUGAGGUAAAGGCGAACAAAGCCGAAGAUGUCUAGCUGGUCUGAGAGGAUGACCGGCCACACUGGGACUGAGACACGGCCCAGACUCCUACGGGAGGCAGCAGUGGGGAAUAUUGCGCAAUGGAGGCAACCUGACGGAGCCAUGCCGCGUGAAUGAAGAAGGCCUUCGGAUUGUAAAGUUCUUUCGGUAGCGAGGCGUUAACUACAGAAGAAGCACCGGCUAACUCCGUGCCAGCAGCCGCGGUAAUAC